AAGGUAUAGGGACAUGCCCAUAGUCCACCAAGUUUUGAUGUUGAAAAUAACAGAUUUCUCAAAAAAAUUCAUUUGGUGCCUCACAAAUCAGUUGGGUGAUGCUUCUUUUUGUCUCACAAAAAAAUGAAUCCAAAGUUUGUGGACACAUAAAACUUGGGUUCUUUUUUUUUUUUUUUGUGUGCGUGAGACAAAGAAAUGCAUUAAAUAACUAAUGUCAGUUGUGAGAAACCGUAAAAAAAAUUCAGAUUUCUUAGUUACCAAAAUAUAAAACAAAAAACUAUGGCUCGGUACUGAAAAGUUGGCAUCUAAAAACGCUUAGUAUAGUAAGUGACUUUUGGACUGGUAUAUAAAUGAUCAUGAAGAGGAGGCUUGAAGUAACUGGUAAAGUUGCUGCCAUGUGAUCAGGAGGUCACAGGUUCAAAUCUUGGAAACGGCUUCUGGCAGAAAUACGUAAGGUUGCGUACGAUACACCCUUGUGGUGGGGCCCUUCUCUGGACACAGCGCAUAGCGGUAGCUUUAGUGCACCGGGCUGCCCUUUUAUAUAAAUGAUAAUUUCUCAAGAAAAAUGUACAAAAGAUGAUGAAUAUUGUAGUUGUAUUCUAGGAUAGUAGUUGCUGAGAGAGAGGCAGUGAGCAUUGCUUGCUCUCCUUAUAGCUGCUUUUCAUGAAAAUCUCCUUAGUAAGACACAACUGCAGCCACAAAUGUGCACGUAUUAAAACUUCUAUGCUUAACAUUUCAAAGAUAGUGAACUCACAUAGUUACAAGCUACACCAUAAGAGUAGUUGACAAAACCCAAAAAAGAGAAAAAAGGAAAAGCUAUUAGAGUCUUUGUUGAAUAUGGUGACAAUCAAAAAAAUCCAUUGGGCAGUCGAUAUGGCUAAAAAUCUCCUUUUCUUGUCCUGAUACUUUAUUAUGGUUGAUCAUCUGCUAAUUUUCUGAGGGGAUGGCCUCUCUUCUAUCUGACAGAAUUCAUUUUAUGGAACGUAGUAGGGGGCUGAGGCAUCAUAAUAUUAUUGUGAUGGUUGAGCGACGUGUUUCUCUUGUCUUGUCAGCGAUGGACAAGGCUUGAUAAUCUUAAUUGCAGGUAAUAUAGUUGCACAUUAAGGAGGUAACACUGCUUAUUUCUUUUCCUCCUGCAACGAGGCAUGAGGGUAUUCAUAUUCUCGUUCAUAGAUAUCACAUAGUAUAUAACAGAUGCUGUACGAGUCGUGUUCUCAUAUUAACAAAAUAUCUUAGACUAGGCUAUCCUGGUUGGCCGGAAAUAUUUUUACACUAUUAGUUCUGGCAAGAAAGAUGAAAGUUGUAAAAAAGUGGUGAUGGAUUCGUCACAAUAUGCAGCCUCUAUUCACAAUUUCAGAAAGUUUACAAGGACAAUGUUAUGUCUGUUGCAGCUAUUUGCUUCUGCUUAUUGCCUCGCCAAAAUGGGAGAGUAACUCCAUUUCUUAAAUCUGCCUUUUCACAUUAUGGAUUCAGACGUUCCAAAGAGAAAGGAAAAAGGGCACAAUUCAUGAAUUCUUGCUCCCUUCCAGCUUUCUGAUGAUCUUUGGAAGUUUCUUGGUACAGAAGAGACUCAAUUGUCACAGUCCGACAUUAUUUAGAGAAUUACAGAGUACAUUAAGCAAAUUAAAAUAACUUGCAGGCCGGUAACUUUUCAGAGGUUGUUUUAAGGUUUUCACUAGCUAUACAUUGCUACACAUGGGACUUCUACACUACAGAGUGUGGCUUCGAUUUGCUCGAGGCCAAUAUACAAAUGUCUGAAGGCUCUUAACUGGGGAGCAAUCAGUCCAUCCAAGGAAAAUUUCGAAGAAAAGUUGUCCUAUAAUUCAAAAUUAUGAUGAAGACUUUUGAGAAGUUAUAUUUUUAAGUGUGCUCAAGGAUGAAGUGUAUUUCUUAUUUACAUCCCCUAGGAUGGUGUUUGUCUUCUCAUGUAAUUUACUUGGUAAGAAUGUAGGGGAAAGCCAAAAAAAAAAAAAAAAAAACUUUGCUUUA